UCACACUUGUACUUCUUAGCAU
rnacentral:miRNA from 3 species